UUACAUCUGUGCCCUCUUUAUUCCCUUUCUACUUCUCCUGCCUCAUCUCAUAUUUGAUCAUGUAUCUUUCUUGCUAGAAUCCCCCUGCUGUGUCUUCCUGCCUCUUUUCUGGCACCGCUCUCCUGGUGUUCGCACUCGGUGAGGACAUAGUUAGAAUUGUAAACAUGGCCACAGAUUGGAUAUGGGAGUCAAAUGCGAAGAGGAGGUCAUAUUCACUCCAAGGUGCCAGCAAGCUUUCGGAAGGACAGAACAACCUAAUGUGUCCUGUUACCACUGGCUCAGAUGAUGGGUACCUAUUGCCUCGUUUCCAGAUGAAGCAAGCUGUCGUGGGCGUUAAUGGUACUUC
ensembl:lncRNA